ACGGAGGAUGCAAGCGUUAUCCGGAAUGAUUGGGCGUAAAGCGUCCGCAGGUGGCAGUUCAAGUCUGCUGUCAAAGACCGGGGCUUAACUUCGGAAAGGCAGUGGAAACUGAACAGCUAGAGUAUGGUAGGGGCAGAGGGAAUUCCUGGUGUAGCGGUGAAAUGCGUAGAGAUCAGGAAGAACACCAGUGGCGAAGGCGAUCUACUGGGCCGUUACUGACACUGAGAGACGAAAGCGUGGGGAGCGAACGGGA
rnacentral:rRNA from 1 species